UACGCUUUACGUAAAUUCUAUUGGUUUAGGAUGCUGUCAGUAAAGACAAAGAGGCGCCUGGAUAUGUCAAUGCACAGUGAAAGAAACUGGAUGAUGCAACGAUAAAGUAACAAAAUCGAGACUCAUCAGACCAGGCAACAUUUUUCCAGUCUUCAUCUGUCCAAUUUUGUUUGGAGUUCAGGAGAUUGACCAGGACCACACCCCUUUAUGUAUUGAAGCAACUGGUAUUCCAAAUAAACCUUUAGUUUUGCUGUUUUGGGACACUCGGGUUCGUUUCCCAUCUGGAUGGACCAUCCAGACGACCAGAUCUGCAUUCACUUCAGAGAACACAAAUGGAGUAUCGUACUUCAACCCCAGCUCUCCCUCUUUGACUGCUUGAACUGGACAAGGCCCACAGCAGAAGACACCUGUGAGGACGUGGGAUUCUUCACAGAGGAUGAAGGAGACUAGUUAACAGAUGGAUGUGCCAGAGAAAGCCUAGGAAACUGUGUACUUUGAGGAGUUAAGCACAUGGAUGAAAAGGUAUUAUUGUUGUUUAUAGCCUACCAUCACUUCUUUCCUGAGGCGUUGGAUCUAACACCUGCCACCCAUCGUAACCUACUGGGAGAUCAUCACGCUUCAUCCAGCACUCAACCCAACAAUGAUAUACUUUCAAGCUGAUUAUUGAACAGGUAGUCCACAGUGAUGUUGCCAUUUGUGUCGUGAGCUGAUGAGUAGUUAGUGAUACAUCUGGUUGGGAUGCCAAGACAGCGGAGGACUGUGGAAAGAGAAGACCACACAUAAGACAUAGCCACACCUGUGAACACCCAACACUGACCAUAGCGCACCAUUUGUCCUCCACCCCUACUCCAGCUUCUCAGAAUGGGCACACUGCCAGUCCAACGUGAGGGAGCCACACCAUCAUCGUACUUUCCAUCCCAGCGGC